CUGCCUAGCCUUAAACAAGAAGUUAACAGUGUGAAUAUUUCACAAUGGAUUUAGCAGUUUUGGUCAAAUCCAAAAUUAUUAUUUCCUACACUACAAUAUUUGAGCAGCAGGAAUUUUGAAAGUGUUACAAAGCCUGUGCUCUCUGGCAAUAAGAAACAACAGAUUGAUACCAAGAAGGACCAAUGUACCUCUUCUUGCUGGAGUUCUCAGGAAGAGCCACAAGAGUAGAGAAAACAAGAAAGCCAGACAGAUGAAGGCAGGUUUCUUUUUCUUCCAUAAGACAAAGAUAAGGAAAAGAAAAGGUGCUGAAAAAUUAACAGGUUAGAAAGAAGAGCCAGUUGAAGUGAAGAAAGGGCAUAGAAGAGAUUUUCCUUCUCAGGAAAACCAGGAUAUGAACAGGAGUCUACUCAGCAGAAGCCAAACUAUUAACUGUUUCCUGUCUUCAAUCAGGCAGUAGAAUGCUUUUUCACCCCAACUAAGAACAGCCACUGUAUAGAAAUACAGAACAGGAGUAAUAUACAAUUAGAGUACACACACCUACUAUGGUAAGCAUUAUCGUAUGACUAGAAUGUAUAAUUAUUUGCAACAAAACGAACUGCACAGUUGGGUACACAUGCUGAUCUUAUCCCUGUUUUCAAUACAGUGCAGAAGUAAAUGCCCAUGUUAAAAAAAGAGUCAUUUUAUUUUCUCUCUACCUUGCAUCAGUAAUGUGUAACUUCAGUAUUCG